GAGGGUAUAGCUCAGUGGUAGAGUAUGUGCUUAGCAAGCACAAGGUCCUGGGCUCAAUCCUCAGUAGCUCUA
rfam:Camelus ferus unplaced genomic scaffold scaffold487, whole genome shotgun sequence.